rnacentral:tRNA from 1 species
GGUGGCUCUGUGGUAGAGUGCUUGCCUUGCAUGCAUGAGACCCUGGGUUCGAUUCCUCAGCACCA